GCUUCCAUAGUUCAACGGACAGAAUGCCGGUCUCCGGAACCGGCGAUUUGGGUUCGAAUCCCAAUGGGAGCG
rnacentral:tRNA from 1 species